rnacentral:rRNA from 1 species
CCUACGGGAGGCAGCAGUGAGGAAUAUUGCACAAUGGGGGAAACCCUGAUGCAGCGACGCCGCGGGAGUGAAGAAGGAAUUCGUUACGUAAAGCUCUAUCAGCAGGGAAGAAACACUGACCUUACGGUCAGCAGACGGUACCUGAGUAAGAAGCCCCGGCGAACUACGUGCCAGCAGCCGCGGUAAAACGUAGGGGGCAAGCGUUAGCCGGAUUUACUGGGUGUAAAGGGGGCGUAGACGGUGACCAAAGUCUGGAGUGAAAGGCGGCAGCUUAACUGGGGAACUGCUUUGGAAACGGGCGAACUAGAGUGAGGGAGGGGGAAGCGGAAUGCCUGGUGUAGCGGUGAAAUGCGUAGAUAUUAGGAGGAACACCGGUGGCGAAGGCGGCUUACUGGACCGUAACUGACGUUGAGGCUCGAAAGCGUGGGGAGCAAACGGGAUUAGAUACCCUGGUAGUC